rnacentral:snRNA from 1 species
GUGCUCACUUCGGCAGCACAUACACUAAAAUUGGAAUGAUACAGAGAAGAUUAGCAUGGCCCCGGCGCAAGGAUGACAUGCAUAUUUGUGAAGUGUUCCAUAUUAAA